GUCACAGCCUGACCAGGGCAGUCACAGUCUCGGGGGGUGUGAAGAUGGAGGGGGGGGGUCACAUCCUGUUGGGGGGAGCACAGCCUGAGGCGGGUAUGAGUGGAUGGAGGGGUCACGGCAUGAGGGGGGGCAUAAGGGUCUGGGGGCUCCUGAGGGGGACAUGAGGGGGUUGGGGGGGGCAUGAGGGGCCGGGGGGGUCAUGAGGGGAAGGGGACAGGGCCCGGUGGUUUGGUCCUGGCCCUGCAGACACUGCGGGGAAGGGGGACAGGGCCCAGGGGAAGGGGAAUGGGGCCGGGGGAAGCCCCAUCACUGCUGGCAGUGACAGCGGGGACAGGCCCCGGGGCCUCGGGGCAUGCAGGCUGGGGGCUUUGGGUUGGCACCGAGGGGGCCACUGUGGGGCAGCUCAGGCCUUUGGGGUGGCAGCUGCCGUUGGGGUGGAGGAGGGCAGUGCCUGGGGACUGUCGCCUUUGUGGUGGCGUUUAAUGCCAGGGGACGGCGAGAGGGAGCCCCUGGGUGGGCACAGCUCGAGCACGGGGAGGCAGAAGCCGAGCUGCGAGCACCAGUUGGGGCCCUGCUGGGGUCGCUGGGAAGGGGGGACGGAGGCGGCUGUCACGGUGUGAGGCUGGGGGGAACGGAGGGUGCGAGGGUGGGAACGGGAGGGGGAGGAAAAGGGAUGAUCCGAGAGAUGGAACAAAGCAGUGCUGGGCAGAAAGGUACCUCUGAGUCACGCUGCCGCGCUGGAUUAAGUAGGCUUCGCUGCUGCCUUGCCCGGAUUUGUCUUAGUAUGCUAAUAAACUGUUUUCUCACUGCCAACAUCAUACAGGAACCGAACAGGAACUGAUUAAAUUCUUAAUUCCAAAGUAAAUUCUUGCCAUCAGGUGUACCACUACGUCUUGUCUUCUCUGCCAGUCUUACUUCGGCCCUCGGCCUGCCACUAUUAAUGCGCAUGCUUAAGAUAUAACGCAUUCGCGCUUUCUCCAGAACCUGCGGACGGACCUACGGUGGAAAACCCUGCUGAGAGCGUCACGGUGGCAACCAGGCCCCGCUGGAUGGAACCGCUCACAGGGGAAGAUGGGGUGCCAACAAGGCAGGUUUGGCAGCGAGGAUGGACUCGGGCUGCCAGCUCGCCUCUCCCAACCCGGAAUGCAGGCAGGCACAGGAACUGAGAGCGCUACUGAAGCCAGCAAAAUGGCCUGCGGGACCGAGACCCUGGGUGUUUUACAAGGCCAGCUAUAUUCUACUGCAAACAACCGCCGGUUUCUUCUGUGGCUACUCGUGCUGACAUGCAGGUGCUGAAUACUGCAGGUGGCCAAGUAAGCACUCUACGGGUACAAGAAUUCAUCCCACUGGCCCCAACGAGGACCGUCGGUCGCUGUCGCUUCAUUGCCUGCACUGCUGCAGAACUGCACCUGGAGCCACGGCCGCAGGCUCUGCCACCAUGUCCUGUCCUGGCGGUUAGCCCUGCCUUCGUCGGGCUCGCACCUCAAGUAUUAGCAUGCGUAAUUGCACUUUCGUCCCGUAUGCAAAUUUCUAGUCAUUGGACAAGUCUGGUGAAUACUGCCUCACUUUUUUUUUACCAUGCAUUGAGCAUAUAUUUCACAUCUGUACAAAAUCAGCUAAAACUAUGUUGUUAGCUUUCACCUCUAAACUUGAAAAGCUGCCACUGUUUAACUCAAAUAACUGAUUUGCACAUCAAGCAGCCAGGACAUAUUAAACGUUGUUUUGUUGUGUGACUUGCUGUACUACUGGAUAGCAUGGCUUGUUUGUUUCUUUGUUUGAAGCACUGAACCUUGUUGUAAGUGAGUUUUAUUUGGGACUUUGAGGCUUAAUGAAAAAGUGUAAAAGACACGGAAUUUUUGUCAGAAAUCCAAAGAUCAUGGCCACAAAGACUUUGGCAGAUUAUGGAUACUUUUGUCUUCAGACCCACAGCGCAGUGAGUAUUAUGGGCUUCAGACCCUCAGCACAGUUCACCAGUCUGGAACCGGAGGAUGAGCCUGAGCCUCGCUGACGAUUCACACCUGGAGCGCGAUUCCGCACGCAUUUUGCUAGGAUGCUGCACAACCAGCAACAGGAGGUCGAUGAUCAGGAAUGCUGAGCUCCGUUCCUGGCUGUGAAAGAAGUGUGAUCUAGUGGUUAGAACAGACAUUGUAUCAGGAUUGCCAAGCUACAGUUCUGACAGGAAUUCUGAGAAACACUGAAGGGAGGAGGGGAGAAGUCUUAGUUAUGUUCUGCUGGAGUCAUAAGUUCUUUUCCUAAACAUAAUUUGUGUGUUAGGCUUUCCAAACACCGAGAAUUAUAUCUGGCUGCCUUUUGGGGCAAGUUAUAAGGCCUUGUUCAAAUAACAAAGCUCUGAAGUGCACAGAAUAUAAACAGCAAUCAGAAGUGAGACUGGCGAGCUAACAUUUCUUGGCUUACAGCAUAUUGCACGUUCCUCUAGUCUGCAGGGUAUUUAUGUUUCUUCUUUUGUCUGGGGAAUAUUAUCCUGACUGGCAAUGCAAGAGAAAAGGCAGACAAAUUGAAGCAGAAUGCAAAAUAUCCUGCAAAAUCUGGUAGGCCGGUGCUCCUGAGAGCUCUGAUGCAAAAGAUAAUUAUAGAUGAAAGUGUAGCAACCGCUGUGGUUAAGGUUGCGAAAUGUUCUAUUUACUCAGGUUGCUUAGGAGCCGUGCAAAAACUACAUGCUGGCUCUGUGCAGCACAAUAUCUCCAGCGAGGCCAGAGCUUUGGGGAGGAUCAGAUCUGCAGUGUUCUCAAGUUCUGCAGAACCUUUAUUGCCCAAAUAUGGUCCAGGAGCAUAUAGGUGCUUAAAAGGCUAGAAAUUAUGGGCCUGUGAUUAGAUGUUUCAUAGAGACCGAAGGCUCAAAAGGCCCAGCCCUCAAAGGCUGAAUAGAUCAAAUUUGGCUGAGAAAAUACCACUUUGUAGCUUUCUCUGCAGAAGUCCCGAGGAGCACAGGACCAGCACUCUCCCUACUCCUUGCAAAGGGCUACAGAGCCAGAUACACAUCGUUGUUUUAAGUCUUCUGUGUUUUUGUUUCAAGUCAAGCUGAGGAAAUUCAUUGUAAAAGCUCUGUGUUUAGACAACAGAAAGCCUAAAGUAUUCUGGGGCACGUCCUCAGCUUGUGUAAAUUGUCAUGAGAUAUCAAAGUCAAGAUCAAAUGCUAGGCCUUCCCUCAGAUAUCCUGUGUGUGCUAUGACACAGCAGCUACACAUGUGGUCAUAAACUGUUUUCCAAACAAUAACAUAAUGCAAUGCAGUAAUACUGUGGUUAGGCUAAUGAUGUGGUAGGACCAUCACAUAUUGUGCUAACCAGCAUCAUCCUAUUGUUGCUUUUUUUUUCCUUGCACUUCUUUGAUUACCUUGACGUGCUGCUUCUUCAUGCUUAAACCCUAUAAUCUCUCUGUCCAGUUUGCAUUGCACCUUGCUAAAUGUAGCUAUGGCCCAUUAUUCGGGUACAGAGGUGCUAAACCAACACAAAAAAUGGAUUUUUAUAUUAACUGUUAGUAAUAUUUAUUAUAGGCUCUCAGCAUACUAUAUCUAACGAACAUGUGUUCUGAUAUGCUGCAUUACUUGUUUGAUAUUAGUGUUAUGUAUAUCAUAAAAUCCUAGAAUAAUUAAGGUUGGAAAAGACCUCCAAGAUCAUCUGGUCAAACCAUCCCCCUACCACCUAUAUCACCCACUAAACCAUGUCCCCA